GCCCCCUCUCUCUCUGCAACUGCUAACUUGGUUAACAUCGGGCCUUAACAUUUAGCAAGAACAAGGUUCAAGAAACAUGCCUCCUCAAUCAUCAGGUCUCUUUUCUGAAAGAAGAGAGUUGAUGGGAAUGGGUGGUGUUGGGAAAAA